rnacentral:rRNA from 1 species
UACGAAGGGUGCAAACGUUGCUCGGAAUUAUUGGGCGUAAAGCGCACGUAGGCGGCUUUUCAAGUCCCAUGUGAAAGCCCACGGCUUAACCGUGGAAGUGCAUGGGAAACUGGAAAGCUUGAGUACUUAAGAGGAUCGCGGAAUUCCCGGUGUAGAGGUGAAAUUCGUAGAUAUUGGGAAGAACACCAGUGGCGAAGGCGGCUCACUGGCCCGAUACUGACGCUGAGGCACGAAAGCGUGGGGAGCAAACAGG